rnacentral:lncRNA from 1 species
UUCUUUAAAAUGCCCUCUAUGAGUGCUCAAAUGAAUCUCAUACUGCAGUGGGUCUGUAGUGUUAAAAUCUAACCUGAGAGUUCUGUGUCCAUAUUCUUUGCCAGCAUCAGAGUUUUAAGCUCUGGCAUAGCUUUCUUCAUGUCAUAAAAACAGGAGUGUUUUAAAAAAGAUUCUGUGAUGUGAAGAAUCUUCUCCUGCUUGGAAUCUGAACUACGAAUAAAUCCUGCAUUUGCCAAAAGGGGUGACAAUUCCAGUAUGUAGCUGAUAAAAUGCUUUGGGCUGCAAGUAACAGAGUACCUGACUCGAAUUGGCUUAGACAAUAAAGAAAUUUAUCAUCUCCUAUAGCCUCAGGUUUGAUUCACUUGAGAGUUCAAUGGUGGGUUUAGGUUCUGUCUCUCACGGUGUUAACUCUAAUCUCUUGCUUUUAUCUAGCAGUAGAGAGAGAAAAAAACUUCUCAACUGUGGGCACCUUCAGUUCCAUCAGUUAGGCCAUCUAAGGUCACAUGCCCACUCCUAAAGCGUUAACACCUCCCUGGAAUCCCUUAAACUGGCCAAAGCUGAUCAUGAAUGACCCCUGGAGUCAGAGAUGUCACCUUGCCCAGCAUCAUAAAUGGGAAAGGAAUCUCUGAAUAAAAUUGGGGUUCUGAUAGGAAAGUAGAAUGAGAAAAUGAUGAGAGAAGGCCACCCAAAUUAUCUUGUAUAGUGAGCAACUCUCAUAAACACCCUCUGCAAAGCAGUAGCUCUGGGUAAUGCAGUUACCGAGGAAACUAAAACAAAUGAAUAUAAAUAAUAAUUAAAGGGGAAAGUAAAAGUUUCAAGAGACACUUUAAAAAAUAAAAAAACCCUGAUAUGCUUGGAUUCUUCAUUAUUUGCUAUGAACAAAGUUCUAAUCCACAUCCCCCUCCCCUCCUUUCUGCUCAAUAUCAUGUGUAGAGACACAAAAGCACACAGGUGAUGUGGGGUGUGCUUAGGUCCCUAAAAGUAAAGACUGUGGUUCAUCAACAUUUUACAGGAAAGCCCGGAUUUGUUGUCAAGUGUUUUCCUUCCCAAAGAAGGCUGUCAUUGGCGUCUAUGAGAAUGUUUGGAGAUGGAGGUGUUAGGAAAGGCAGAAUCUAGAGGUGGUUAUUCUUUCUUGCUCUCACCUCUUCUUUAACCUCCACAGGCUGUUACAGGGAGGCUUGCAGACAGCAGUGUCUUGCUUGGUCCCCUGCUGUAUCAUUAGCACCUAGAACAGCACCUGGCACAAAAUAGACACUCAGUAAAUUGCUGUUGAGUCAAUGGAUGCAAACCCUCCCAGGAGUAGCACUGAGGGUAGCCAUAGGAACAGGGAAUCUGUCAACCCCCGUGAGCAGGAAGAGUAGAGGGUGGGAAGGGAAAUGCCACCCGCUCAGUUGGCUAUUUGCAAGGUCAGGACUGCUUGGACAGCCUCCUGUCACAUAGCUGUGCUUUUUUUAUUAAGCAGAAAUAAAACUCACCAGCUACUCCUUCAGAGAAUAAGACAUUCCUAGUUAAUGUCUGAUGGUGGGGUUUUAAGAAGGAAUUUAAUUAGCAUCCAAGGAUUUUGUUAGGUUUCAUGUAGCUUUUAGCUUUUCCCCAGGAAAACCUAUCAGACAUGCAGUAAGUAUAAAGCAUGCUGUGUGUUUUGUUUGAAGAUGUUGAUGUGAAUGGCUGCCCUUUGAUGCUAGUGCUGUGGAAUUUAAAUAUAAACAUUUUGAUAAAAGCUAAAUUCCCAGCAUCCUCACAAUCCUUUGAUGCCUCACCAUUAAGGAACUGAGAGCUUUGGUUGGGGGCAGGGAGGGUAAAUAGUGUGGUUGACUCCCUUUAUCUGAAGAACUCUGUUAGAUGCUAGGGUCCUUUCUUUUCUUUCUGGAGGCUAUUAUUGUUGCUCAUAUAAAUUCAAUAUCCCAAUUCUCAGGCUUCCAUAAAAGAGAUACAGUCUCUUGGGAUUGUUGACUCUGACCGCAGAGCUUCGGUAUAUGUGUCUGUAGAACAGCCCAAGUAUUAUCUGUAAGAAUGAAACCAACUCUCCUUUAGUGAGAAAAGGUGAUUAAUGUCAGGUCUGUGCCAGGCUCCACACAUGUCUUGUUGAGUAAUCUUUAGAAAAAUGCUCUAAGGUAGGUGUUUAUUUUAUUUAUUUUAUUUUAUUUUCUUUCUGCCCUGGCCCUUCUGUGGUCUGCUGUUAACGGAGCAACCAGCGUGAUCCUGCUCAAGUAUAAGUCAUAUCGUGUCACUCCUCUGCUCAGAACCUUCCAAUAGCUUCCAGUCCCUCUCGAAGUAAAAGCCAAAGUCCUCGUUAACAACCUAUGAUCUGUGGCCUCCCCUUCAGCCCUCGGACUUCAUCCUCCCUCCUUCCAUACUUGUUACUCUUAAAUGACAUUUGGGCCCCCAUGCCGUUUUUUGUGAAAUUCCUGCCUCAGGGUCUUGGUACUUUCUGUUCGUUCUCUUUGGAAUGGUUGCCCCUAAGACUGCACAUGGGGAGCAGUCCAAUUCCUCAGGUCUUUAUGGCAAAGUCACCUUCUCACCAAGGACUUCCCUACUGAUCCUAAUUAAAAUCUCACCACCCUGCCUAAUACCCAACCUCUCAUCUCUACCUUUCCAGCUUUAAUUUUUUUUUUUGGUAUCAAUUUUACCUACUUGACUGCAAUUAAUUGUCUACCCCAUUAGAAUGCAAGUUCUGAAAAUGUAGGGAUUUGUCUCUGUUUUCCUCCUGCUGCCCCUACUCUCUACAAUCUCCUACACAGCACCUAGAACAGUGCCUGAACUGCAGGAGCUGCAUACUAAGUAUUGAAUGCUGAAUGAUUUCAUUCUUUCAGCCAUCAAAUAUUGAUUCUGCAUUUACCAAGAGCCACAUGAUAUGCUGGAUUCCCCUAACAAAACUGACCCAAAGAGACAAGUUUUCUUACUUCAUACAAUUUAAAAUCAAGAGAGGAAAGGAACAAUUAAGCAAGUGCCCAUUUUAUACACAGGGACUCUAAAUUUCACCAAAAUGAGUGCAGUUCCCCAGUAUCCACUGUUCUCAAGUGGCACAGCUGGUAGGAGCACCCUGGAAUUUCAAAUUACAAUGCCAGCUCUCUUUCCUUUAUGCCAUCGCUGGCGUUGACAUAGAUACUUUUUUUUUUUUUUGCUAAUUACCCAUGUUUGUGUGUGAGAAUGCCCUUCACUGAGCAGGAAGUCUGUUGCUGUUUGCAUCUAUUGGGAUAGUUCUUUAGGGCAUUAAGGAUUAUCAUUAGGCAAAGCUCAUCAAUCAUUAUUAUUGUGGAUAAGCUUCAUUUGAUCUGCCCUUCAAGAACAUCAAAAUAAAAAUAACUAUUUCACCUCACUCUACAUAAAGAAAAAAAUUCUUGAGCUUAUUAUAUGCAUAGGACAAUGUGAAAAUAAAAGCUAAGUAGACCCCUUAUCUGACGGUUUACACUUGGGAUUCUUUUUGAAAAGGUUAGGUUGCCCAUUAAAUUUCAGCUUUGUGCAGUAAUUAUAAAUUUUUCAGUUUGAUAUUUUUAAUCAGAACGGAUGCUUAAAAUGGGGAUCUAUUUAGAAGUCAUUUUUCACUGUUAACUCUAGUUUUGUUAGGUUGGGAAUUUUCACAGAGAAAACUUGUGAAAACAGUCUUACGUCUUUUGAGGGGAAAAAAAAACCCACUAGACCUCCUAAAUAACCAAAACAAAAUUUUACACAGACAUUGGCUGAAAGUCUAUUUUAGGAGAUAAUCCUGUAUGGCCUUUUGCAAAUGUAGAAGAAAUCUAUACAUUUGGAAGAGUUUAUCACCUCCACUGCCAUUUGAUAGUAUGGGCUUAAGGCUAUGUUUUUGUGCUCUUUAAUGAGAAAUAACAAAAGAUGCUUCUGGUAGAAGUUCUGCCGGAUUGCUGCUCUAAGCUGUAGAAUGCAAAAAGAUUUGGCUUUAGUAAGACCCUUGUCUCUUUCAUACCUCGUUGUGAUUUUUGGUGAACAGAACAUGGUCUUUCAUUUCUUUAAUCCUUUCAACUUUACUCUUAGAGAGAUCUUUUAGUGCAUAAAUGCCAUCAGCAUUGGCAGGAAAUAACCUUGUUGUUAUUUUUUGUAAAUGUUAGUCUCUGAAGAAGAAAGCUUCACUGUACUCCUCUCUAGCUGGAACUGGGAACAGAUCAAAGGGGUAGCUGCAGGAUAAAGCCAGCACCCUGGAGGAGGGGAAGGGAGUGGGAGCAAGGAAACCAAGGGGAAGGGACUUCCAGCUGACCUUUCCAGAUGUCCUGAGCCACAUGUGUGAAAUCCAAUGUCAAAGACACUACGUAUGAAGCUGUUGUACAUGGAGGGGAUAAACAGCAAGAGCCUACAAUAUAGCACAGAGAACCAUAUUCAGUGUGCCAUGAUAAACCAUAAUGGAAAAGAAUAUUUUUAAAAAAGUGUAUAUACAUAUAUAUGUGUGUGUAUAUAUAUAUAAACUAUAUAUAACUAUAUAUAUAAAACUAAGUUACUUUGCUACACAGCAGAAAUUAACUCGCUGUAAAUUAAGUAUACUUCAAUUAAAAAAAAUACCCAUGUUAAAAAAACCCAACAUUACAAAUGCUAUAUUAAUUACCCUGUCCUUGGGCCCCCAGUAAAGACAUAAUUAUCACAUUUAUGUACAUUUCUCACAAACCUGAAAGGCAAAUGCUUUGGUAUAAGCAGGAAAAUAUUAAAUUGAAAAUGAAGGCAUGAAGAAAUGAUCAUUUGAGACUAUUUUCUCCAAAUCAUGGUAGUGCCGUGGAAAAUAACAGAAAAAUUGUAAAAGUUCAGAGAUGAGCUAAAAUGUUCACCCCAGUCUCCUUCAUUGUCAUUGGUACUAGUGCCAAAAAUAAAAAUAGCUAAAUGACCUCAGUGUUGCAUUAGGUGUACACAGAGUGAAGCACACGGUUCUUGGGUUCCUGAUGCUGUGUAAGUGUGGGGCCAUCAAAGCACUACUUUGCUAGAUGAAGGAAAGUAUAAUGGCAUAUUUCAGCCCGAGGGAUACUGCUUUUGCUGAAAAAGAGGACAUAAUCUUUCAUGAUGUAAUCUUACAGC